GUUCAAUGGUUGAGUGUUGUGAUUGAGUGUGUGAGGUUUUGAGUUCGAGUCUUUCUUUUGAAAUUUUGUUAAUUUUUGGUUCUAUCCCUAUUUCAGAUCAUUUGACUUAAUUUUUUUGUACAAGUUAUGACAGAAUGAGUUUGUUGGUUUAGUAGUAAGAUAUCAACUUACCUUUAAGUCUUGUGUUUGAAUCUUGUGUUAUG
rnacentral:lncRNA from 1 species